UGCACGUAAUGGAUGUGUCGA
rnacentral:piRNA from 1 species